rnacentral:lncRNA from 1 species
UUUUUUUUUUUGGCUGAGGAAGACUGGCCCUGAGCUGCCAUCUGUGCCUAUCUUCCUCUAUUUUAUAUGUGGGGUGCCUGCCACAGCAUGGCUUGCCAAGCAGUGCCAUGUCCACACCAGAGAUCUGAACCAGCACAGGCCAGGCCGCCAAAGCAGAACGUGUGAACUUAACCACUAUGCCACCAGGCCAGCCCCCCAUCUUUUGCUUUUAACUUCAAUAUAGAGUUAAUGUUCUUGAAAUUUCUUUCCAAAAAGCUUGAAUAAAGUCCAAAUAUUUUACCCCAGCAUUUAAAGCCUUCCAUGAUCUGGUUGCAGAUUUAUCAAGCACUCUUCCCUUUGGCCAUCCUGAACCACUACCUGUUUCUCACUCACCUCACUUCACUGUCACACAGCUGUACUGUCCAUCACCGGAGUGCAGGCACCACGAGGGCUGAUCUCCGGGCAACAGAGCGAUGGGAAGGUUUUGAAGUGAAUGAAUUCUUUGUUCAUUUGUCUACCUCCUCCUCAACCUCUGCAUAUCUAAAUUCUGUGCUUACUUUAAGGCUCAGAUCAAAUACUGCUUCCUUCAGGAUGCUUUCCCAGAUUCCUUUGCACAUUAAAGUCAUGCCAUCUGGAUUCCCACAAUAUUUUAUUUAUCCCUCUUUUGUGAUGCUUAUUUUCUUCCUGAAAUUAUUGUUCUCUGGAAUUGAGUCAUUUAUAUUUAUUUUUGUAUCUUCCCUAGACCCUAGACUCAUGGUUCUUAGCACAUAGUAGGCACUUAGUUAAUGUUCCUUGAGUCCAUUAAUUAAUACUUAAAGUGAAAAGAGAACUGGGAGGUGAUUGUUGCAUGAAUUCCUAAACCUCUAGAAUAGGUUCUAUGUAAACACACAUAUGGAUCUCUCAUGAAAACAACAACAAAAACCAAGUGAAAAUAAAAUCACAGCUAAUUUUGGUAUCACCAUUCCACUGAUUGACAACUUUGGUAAUAAUAAUAGCCAUGCUUUAUUGAAAACUGACUCUGCCAGGCAAUCCAAUCCCUUUACGUAUAUCAUCAUGGAUCUUCAACACUUAUGAGGGUCUAUAUUCAUUUAAAUAAUGAGCGUAUUGAGGCUGAAGCUGAGUCUUAUGUUUGCUAUGUAUGUGAACUAAAAUUUAAGUAUGGGUCUGACUGACUCCAAGGCUCUUCCCGCUAGGCCGUGCCUUCAGACUCUUUGGGUUCAGAAAUCCUUUUAGUUCACUAAGGGAAACGUCUUGUGUGAUGUCCACAGUGGAGACACAAACAUGCCCACGGAAUCUCGGCAUCUGCACUGACAGGCCUUCAUUUCCCUAAUGGAGAUUUGAUGACUAUAUUGCUAACAAAGGAAGAAGGCUCCCUUAGUAAAACUUUUAGGCAAGUCCCAAAAUUUAAGUUGAUCCUCGUCAACACUUUCUGUAAUAAUUAAAAUGUUACAAGCUAGAAUCUAGUGGUGAAAGGGAACUUUGGGAGUAUUCCUAGCUGUGCUACCUGACUACAGUUUAAAGAUCUGUAUAUUCUGAGGACCAGGAGGUCACAGGAUUGCCUUCCUCUGUGCUGCCUCGUUAACCUAACAAUCCCCGCCUCCUCUAUCUGCAGUCACCCCUGGGAUACGCUAAUUGUAAUGUCUCUCGAGUCAGCAGAAGGUAAAACCACACAGUGCAAUGUUGAACAGAAGUGAUGAGCAUGAACAUCCUUGCCUUAAUCCCAGUAUUGCAGGAAAGGAAUCCAUGGUUUACCAGAAAGAGCAUCAGAAACAGUUGGCUACACUAUAGCUACAUCCAGGAGUGGCCCUGAAGGACAGUGGAAAGGGCAGAUCUUUCUAAUAAGCAGAACUGUGAGUGGUGUACCCGGGCAUCUGUUUUGUGUAGAGGACUUGUUCCGGGUGAGAAUAUGUACUGUUUCCUGGGCAGUGGCUAAUGGCUUGGCCAUCUGUUCAAAAGCCUGGAUGGAAAAGGACUGGACAAUCGGAGCCAAGGAAGUCUGGUGUAGAGGUAUGUGGAUGGACAUAUGGGAGUGGACAGAGUGUGAAGAUUUUUGUUUCACACAUUAACACCCACCAGAAAGCAUCCGUCAAGGAAGGGCACUUAGCAACCAAAUAAACAGAAUGUCUUGGCCAGCUGAGGUUGGUCAGGCUUUGUCAUCAGACACUCUGAACUGGCAUGAUGGGCACAUGAAUGGAGUAGCUACAGCGGCAGAGCUGGAAGUUAUGUAUGGGCCCAACACCUGGACUCUCAGUUACUAAGGCUGAUCUAGCUACUGCAGCCUCUGAAUGUCUAACCUGUCAGCCACAGAGACCAUCACUGAGCCCUCGAUAUGACACUAUUCCGCAAGAUUAACUGGUCACUUGGUGGCAAGUUGACUAUAAUGGGCCUCUUCCAUCCCGGAAGGGCCAGUAGUUUGUCCUCACAGGGACAGAACCUAAUCCAGGUAUGGGUUUGCCUUUCUACCUGCAGAGCCUCAGCCAGCACCACGAAAAGGACUGCUAUAGGAUCCAGCGACUUCAUGGUGAUGAAGGUGCAAGACAGGGCUCAUGACAAAGGAAUGCCCAGGCCUUAUCACAUACUACACCACGCUGCAGCCUCAUCCAUGACACCAGCCUCACAGAAUGGUGGAAUGGUCUUCUAAAGACACAGCUAAAGUAUGAACUUUGAGGCAACAUUCUGAAAGCAUGGGUUGUCAUCUUUAAGGAUACAUGGGUGCAAUGUGCCGGCAAAAGGAAUGGCCUCAUUUAUAACACUCCUGAUGACAUUAUUGGAAGCAUUUGUGCUUCCUGCCCUGCAACUCUGCCCUUUGUAAACUUGAAAGGUCCUGGUUCCCAAAAUAGGCAUGCUCUUGUCAAGGACCACAGUCAGGGUCCAACUGAGCUACAAGAAAUGGUUGCCACUAGGGCACUUUGUACUCCUUGUGUCUAGGGGCGUGCAGGUGAGGAAUCACCAUAUUUACAGAGAAAUUGACCACUGUGAGCAGGAGGUCAGGCUGCUUCUACACAAUGGGACAGGGAGGGAUAUGUGUGGAUCUCAACGUGAUCCACUUGGUGUCUCCUGGUGCUCUCCUGCCCCACUGGAACUGUGAACAGACACAAACGGCCAUAUAUGGCAAACCCAGCCUAAGAAGGGCAUGAUUACUAAGGGUUCAGACUCUCAGGAAAUGACCGUUUGCACUACAUCAUCAGGUAAACCACUGGGUGAUUGGCAAGUGUGAGAAGAAUCCAAAAUGGGAUAUUGGAGGAGGAGAUGAGCACCACUUGCAGCCCUCGGAUCAACUGCAGUGACAGGGAAUGCACUUCAUCCUACUAACCUCCCUUUUCUAAGUGUUUCUCAGGAAGAGAGGUACCCCACGGGAACCAUGGAGGACUUGCUCCCUGAACAGAGCUAUGCAGCACAAGGGGUGGACUGUAAUAGCCAUGACCACCAGAUCUCUUGCUGAGGGGAGCUUGACUGACUGAGGGCCCCAGCUACUGCUCUCGGAACCCAUGGAUAUUUUCAUGCCAGGGCUACAGUUCCCAUCAGAACGUGAGCAGAGCAGGUGUACUAAGGCAGACCCAUUCCUGUGAGGUACGAUACUCCUCUGAUGGUCAACUUGGGCUGGAGGGUUCUUCAUCAGCCUGACCAGACUUUCUUGGAAUUGUGCUGCAGUCUGAGACUCUUGCUGCUCAACCCUCCUUCCUUCCCUCUUUCUUCAAAGGGGUCAGACGUGAUACGUGGCCUGAAGACUCUCUGCUUCCUCUGACUUCCUCUCUAUUUCAGUGUCCAUAGGUGUGUCCCCAAAUAAAUCUCUCGUAAACUUAAUCCCGUUUUUGCAUGUGCUUCUUGGAGGACCUGAACGAAAGCAUUUGGACUUUGUUCUGCCAGGUUGUUUGAUACUUGUGGCUCAGCUUCAUAAUCGAGGCUUGCUUUUAAGCUUUUUUGGGGGGCAAGUCUAGCGUAGAUUUUACUGUCAGGCUAGUUUAUCCCUGCUUUUUACCUAAGGUGUAACCUUCCUCGGACCUCCAGUGAAUGUCUGGAGUUCUCAGUGGGGAUGGUCCAGUAUGGCUGGAUGGAAAGUAAUGUUGCCCAAUCUCGUGCUAGUUUUGGGAAUUAAGCUUAGUGCUCAGCAAUGGACACUAAAGGAUUGGUGUGUAGAUUUUUGGAAUUUUUUUCUCCAUAUACCUUCCUCCUCGCUGAUACUCGGCCCUGAAAACUCAA